CCUACGGGAGGCAGCAGUGGGGAAUAUUGCGCAAUGGGCGAAAGCCUGACGCAGCGACGCCGCGUGAGGGAUGAAGGUCUUCGGAUCGUAAACCUCUAUCAGCAGGGAAGAACGGUCACUGUGCUAAUCAGCAGUGAAUUGACGGUACCUGCAAAGGAAGCACCGGCUAACUCCGUGCCAGCAGCCGCAGUAAUACGGAGGGUGCGAGCGUUAAUCGGAAUUACUGGGCGUAAAGCGCUCGUAGGCGGUAUGUGAAGUCAACGGUGAAAUCCCCGGGCUCAACGUGGGAACUGCCUUUGAAACUGGCAAACUGGAGUGUGUGAGAGGAUAGUGGAAUUCCAGGUGUAGGGGUGAAAUCCGUAGAUAUCUGGAGGAACAUCAGUGGCGAAGGCGACUAUCUGGAACAUAACUGACGCUGAGGAGCGAAAGCGUGGGUAGCAAACAGGAUUAGAUACCCGAGUAGUC
rnacentral:rRNA from 1 species